CGUCAUUUUUAAAUCUGCUUAAACAAAUGACAAACAAAAACAGCGCCCACGCCGAUCAUCCGCCAUUCAUACAUCGUAUACGCCAUUUUGUCAUUUUUGCAAGAAAAUGCAAGAGUAGACGAAAUAAGAAAAUGCAAAGAAAUCAUUGCCCUAGAUACUCGUUGCUCUUAAAUGACGCAUACUACAAGAUCGUUUUGUUUUAUGAAACUGAAACUAUGAACUGUAAUGCAAAUUGUGAACUUCGAAAUUGAGGUUAUGAAUCGACAUAGCUCUAUCUACCAUCAAUAUGAUCAAUGCAAUUUGUGUGAGAGAGUGUACCGGCGCAACUUAUGCAGCCUACCGUAUGCAUAUCGCCCUCCGGGAGUGCAACUUGUGUGAAAUUAAACUCAUAUAAAGUCAUAAAAGGUGUAGUCCACACCAUUUGCUACUGAUCCCGUCCCUGAGGCUACGAGCUGAACCCUGAGUCUUAUCCACGUGCAACAACUAUGAACGACCGCGUCGGAGGAUAGAAAUGCAUCUGCUCCUUGACAUCUGUUUUACUGUGUUUCUCAUCACGAUAAUAGAAAAUCUAGUGCUCAAAUUCACAAUCUAAUGAACAUACAGCCAUACAAAAGAUGUCUUAAAGAGGUAUGCCUCCACUGACAAAGUAAAUUAAGUUGCCUACUCGAAAAGCAACUUUGCAAGGAAGCAAGUUUACUACCCACUGAAAUGUUCUCUUGGUACUUGAUGGGAUUAUGGAAUGAAACUGGCAAUAUUACAAUGUGAUAAAGAUAUUCCUGAUGGCGAUGAGUGAUGACUAACUUUCAAAACUACAAGAUGAACCCCAUCCACUUCUAGAAUGUGAAGAAUGCUGCCAUAUUACCGGCCCAUAUGAUCAUCAUGACAACUGUCUACCGUUGUCUACCCCGAUAUAAGGAAAAUUACAAAUGUGUUGCUAAGCUUAAUAUUAGAUGACUAGAAGCAGUUAGAAGAAUAAAGAACGGUUCCUGAGUUUUACAAUGACCGACUAACUUUUGAUGACUGAUGAAGAUGACUAUGCCAGCAAAAGAUGGAUAACAGAUGUACUUCGAAUAGCAAUAUGACUAAAGUACUACCUUACAUUAUUAAGACUAGAAUAUUGAAUAUAUAACUAAAAUUUAAGUUGUAAAAUAAUAAUGUGGAUUUCAUAUUUAUGUUUAUUUUUAAUUAAAGAUAUGCAAGUGUUUGUUUUUCAC